rnacentral:rRNA from 1 species
GAAUGCUGACAUAAGUAACGAUAAUGCGGGUGAAAAACCCGCACGCCGGAAGACCAAGGGUUCCUGUCCAACGUUAAUCGGGGCAGGGUGAGUCGACCCCUAAGGCGAGGCCGAAAGGCGUAGUCGAUGGGAAACAGGUUAAUAUUCCUGUACUUGGUGUUACUGCGAAGGGGGGACGGAGAAGGCUAUGUUAGCCGGGCGACGGUUGUCCCGGUUUAAGCAUGUAGGCGGAGGUUCCAGGUAAAUCCGGUACCUUUUUAACGCUGAGGUGUGAUGACGAGGCACUACGGUGCUGAAGUAACAAAUGCCCUGCUUCCAGGAAAAGCCUCUAAGCAUCAGGUAACACGAAAUCGUACCCCAAACCGACACAGGUGGUCAGGUAGAGAAUACCAAGGCGCUUGAGAGAACUCGGGUGAAGGAACUAGGCAAAAUGGUGCCGUAACUUCGGGAGAAGGCACGCUGAUAUGUAGGUGAAGUGAUUUACUCAUGGAGCUGAAAUCAGUCGAAGAUACCAGCUGGCUGCAACUGUUUAUUAAAAACACAGCACUGUGCAAACACGAAAGUGGACGUAUACGGUGUGACGCCUGCCCGGUGCCGGAAGGUUAAUUGAUGGGGUUAUCCGUAAGGAGAAGCUCUUGAUCGAAGCCCCGGUAAACGGCGGCCGUAACUAUAACGGUCCUAAGGUAGCGAAAUUCCUUGUCGGGUAAGUUCCGACCUGCACGAAUGGCGUAAUGAUGGCCAGGCUGUCUCCACCCGAGACUCAGUGAAAUUGAACUCGCUGUGAAGAUGCAGUGUACCCGCGGCAAGACGGAAAGACCCCGUGAACCUUUACUAUAGCUUGACACUGAACACUGGUCCUUGAUGUGUAGGAUAGGUGGGAGGCUUUGAAGUGUGGACGCCAGUCUGCAUGGAGCCAUCCUUGAAAUACCACCCUUUAAUGGCUGGUGUUCUAACGUGGACCCGUAAUCCGGGUUGCGGACAGUGUCUGGUGGGUAGUUUGACUGGGGCGGUCUCCUCCUAAAGAGUAACGGAGGAGCACGAAGGUUAGCUAAUCCUGGUCGGACAUCAGGAGGUUAGUGCAAAGGCAUAAGCUAGCUUGACUGCGAGAGUGACGGCUCGAGCAGGUGCGAAAGCAGGUCUUAGUGAUCCGGUGGUUCUGAAUGGAAGGGCCAUCGCUCAACGGAUAAAAGGUACUCCGGGGAUAACAGGCUGAUACCGCCCAAGAGUUCAUAUCGACGGCGGUGUUUGGCACCUCGAUGUCGGCUCAUCACAUCCUGGGGCUGAAGUAGGUCCCAAGGGUAUGGCUGUUCGCCAUUUAAAGUGGUACGCGAGCUGGGUUUAGAACGUCGUGAGACAGUUCGGUCCCUAUCUGCCGUGGGCGCUGGAGAAUUGAGGGGGGCUGCUCCUAGUACGAGAGGACCGGAGUGGACGCAUCACUGGUGUUCGGGUUGUCAUGCCAAUGGCAUUGCCCGGUAGCUAAAUGCGGAAGAGAUAAGUGCUGAAAGCAUCUAAGCACGAAACUUGC